UAUCUCUAAUACCUUUACAAGUUAAAGUCGCUUGACGUAUUGUAAGUUUGUUGUGAGCAUAUUAUGGUUUGAGAGCACGGUGCUGAUAAUAAUUGUGGAGAAAAAGAAACGACAGCAGCGCUAGAUGUAAUACUUUAAAGAGGAUUUACAAUGUGACAGGCCUUUACCGAAAGCAACAAAAAAGGUUUUUUGGUUGUACAAUUUAAUGAAAUUUCUAUGAGUAGUCUUAAACGUCAAAUCUACUCUUGUGUUUUAAAUGUACAAUACUGAAAAGGAAAUGCUUACACUAAAUUUCACUACUGUAACUCUUAUGCAACCAGCACAUCGGCUAAUAACACAAUGAGUCUGAAGGGUAGAAGAGAAUAAGAAUAACAGAAGGCUAUAAGAUCAAAAGGAACAUUAAAAAAAAACGAAUGAAGUAAAAGAAACACCAAAAGAAGAAACAGAAAAAUCCUUCGCUGUGGAACACAGUGACCGAUCCCGACGUUUCGUUACAAGAAUAUUGGACAGACGUGAAAAAUUAAAAUUUCCCCGAAGAGAAGUGAACGCGAUUUUUAUUAAAGCAAAAAAAAAAUAUGCCGAAAAGCGCUCAGUGGAAGGCUGUACGGCCCAGCGGGAGGCUUUUAUAAGGCGAACAAUAAAUCAAGGGCGGGGAAAUAUUUAAAAGCUUGCCGCACCAAGAUUCCUUGGCGUUAUCCGUAUUGAACCCAGAUUAUUAUUUUAAGGUUUCCCAGAAUUAAAAAAACUUGGUUAAUAA